GUGCUGUGAAAACAAUUGACUGGGCCCUUG
rnacentral:piRNA from 1 species